GACGUAGGGUGCGAGCGUUGUCCGGAUUUAUUGGGCGUAAAGAGCUCGUAGGCGGCUCGUCGCGUCGACCGUGAAAACCCGCGGCUCAACCGUGUGGUCUGCAGUCGAUACGGGCAGGCUAGAGUUCGGUAGGGGAGACUGGAAUUCCUGGUGUAGCGGUGAAAUGCGCAGAUAUCGGAAGGAACAUCAGUGGCGAAAGCGACUUCCUGGACCAAUACUGACGCUCAUGUGCGAAAGCGUGGGGAGCAAACAGG
rnacentral:rRNA from 1 species